GUGCUCGCUUCAGCAGCAUAUAUACUAAAAUUGGAACAAUACAAAGAAGAUUAGCAUGCCCCUGUGCAAGUUUGACACACAAAUUCAUGAAGCAUUCCAUACGUUU
rnacentral:snRNA from 1 species